AGCGGCGAGUGAAGCGGCAAAAGCUCAAAUUUGAAAUCUGGCACUUUCAGUGUCCGAGUUGUAAUUUGAAGAAGGUAUCUUUGGGUCUGGCUCUUGUCUAUGUUUCUUGGAACAGAACGUCACAGAGGGUGAGAAUCCCGUGCGAUGAGAUGUCCCAGACCUAUGUAAAGUUCCUUCGAAGAGUCGAGUUGUUUGGGAAUGCAGCUCUAAGUGGGUGGUAAAUUCCAUCUAAAGCUAAAUAUUGGCGAGAGACCGAUAGCGAACAAGUACAGUGAUGGAAAGAUGAAAAGAACUUUGAAAAGAGAGUGAAAAAGUACGUGAAAUUGUUGAAAGGGAAGGGCUUGAGAUCAGACUUGGUAUUUUGUAUGUUACUCUCUCGGGGGUGGCCUCUACAGUUUACCGGGCCAGCAUCAGUUUGAGCGGUAGGAUAAGUGCAAAGAAAUGUGGCACUGCUUCGGUAGUGUGUUAUAGUCUUUGUCGAUACUGCCAGCUUAGACUGAGGACUGCGGCUUCGGCCUAGGAUGUUGGCAUAAUGAUCUUAAGUCGCCCGUCUU
rnacentral:rRNA from 1 species